rnacentral:rRNA from 1 species
AGGACGAACGCUUGCGGCGUGCCUAAGAAAUGCAAGUCGAGCGGGGGAGCAAUCCCUAGCGGCGAACGGUCGCGUACCACGUAAGCAACCUGCCCCAGAGACCGGGACAACAGUUCGAAAGGGCUGCUAAUACCGGAUGUGGCCGCUCCAAGACAUCUUGGGGCGUCUAAAUCACUUGUUGGCUCUGGGAGGGCUUGCGGCCUAUCAGCUAGAUGGCGAGGUAAUGGCUCACCACGGCGACGACGGGUAGCUGGU